UACGUAGGGUGCAAGCGUUGUCCGGAAUUAUUGGGCGUAAAGAGCUCGUAGGCGGUUUGUCGCGUCUGCUGUGAAAUCCCGAGGCUCAACCUCGGGCGUGCAGUGGGUACGGGCAGGCUAGAGUGCGGUAGGGGAGAUUGGAAUUCCUGGUGUAGCGGUGGAAUGCGCAGAUAUCAGGAGGAACACCGAUGGCGAAGGCAGAUCUCUGGGCCGCUACUGACGCUGAGGAGCGAAAGCAUGGGGAGCGAACAGGA
rnacentral:rRNA from 1 species